AGGACCUGUGCCAUCCUGGAAUUUCAAUCUGUUGUCAAUCACUGUCUCCAAAAGUCUAAAAAAAAAAGCUGGACAAGUAGUGACCGAGAAAAAAGAAUAGAUCACCAGUAGGUAACACCGGCCAAGAACCGCACUUGCAGCAGCUGUCGGAUGGAUUAGGCAGCACAGACAGCAGCAGGGUGUGUGAUCCCAGGGGACAGAAGCAUCUCUCAGCAAGCAGCCAUCUUCUGCAGACUCUGGGAUUUUUCAAGAGUGAGCACACUGGCUACAAAGGAGUCUUCCUACG
rnacentral:lncRNA from 1 species